rnacentral:rRNA from 1 species
AUGGCGGAGAUUGUGAUCCUUCUAGCCAUUAAAAAGAUUGGAAUUGCCUUGGCAAAAGGAGCGGCAGACCAGGCCAGUGUACAGUUAGCAAAGUUCGGGGCACAACUACUGGAGCUACAGGGUAGCAUGGGUCGUGUUGCCAGGGAGCUUCGGGUAAUGCAUGAUGUUCUAUGUGAAAUGGACAUUCGAAACCGCAGCAAUCAAGUAUAUGAGGGCUGGUUAGAGGAGGUACGCAAAGUAGCACAUGUGAUGGAGGAUAUGGUGGAUGAGUACUUGUAUCUAGUUGGUCGAGAACAUGAUAUAGGUUGUUGUUUCUUCCUGAAGAAAGGGUUCAAAAAGCCAAGAUCACUGCUUUGUUUGAAUCAGAUAGCUCUCAGAGUGAAGGAACUGGAGAAAGACCUUUCACACCUGUCAGAGACAAAAAACCGUUGGGUUCCCAUGAUAAACAACGGGGAUUCUAGCAACCUCAGUUACAUUGUCAAGAGAUCCCAAGAGCUAGCAAACAUUUCACGCUUAAUUGAUGAAGAAGAUCUAGUGGGGGUGGAUAAAAACAGAGAAAAACUCGAGCAAUGGUUGGGGGGUGAUGAUCAGAAAUGCUCUGUGAUAGCUCUGCUCGGAAUGGGAGGUCUUGGUAAAACUGCUUUAGCUGCAAAUGUCUACAAGAGGGUGAGGGAGAAAUUCCAGUGCUAUGCCUGGGUCUCCAUCUCUCAAACUUAUUCUAGAGAAGAUGUCUUGAGAAAUAUGAUCAAAGAACUUUUUAAAGACAAUGCUAGUGCUCUAUGUAGCACUCUGUCCAUGGACAUCAUGAGCCUUGAAGAGACACUAAAGAAAUAUCUGGAGCAAAGAAAGUACUUGAUCAUAUUGGAUGAUGUUUGGGAUCUGGAAGCAUUCCAUGAUUUGUCAAGGAUGCUUACUCAUAAUGAUAAGGGCAGUAGAGUGAUACUUACAACAAGGGAAGCCAGCAUUGCCGCACUUGCCUCUCAAGGACAUAGCUUAACAUUGAAAGCUUUACCAGAAGACAAGGCAUGGGAUCUCUUUUGUAAGAAAGCCUUUCCAAGAGAUACAAAUCAUGAAUGUCCUACAGAAUUGAAGCCAUCAUCCAAGGAGAUAGUUAGCAAGUGCAAAGGCUUGCCUCUUGCUGUUGUGUCAGUUGGUAGCCUCUUGAGUGCGCGUGAGAAAACCGUGGAAGAAUGGAGAAGAAUAAAUGAUCAACUAAGCUGGGAGAUAAUUAACAAUUCAAGUCUGGACCACAUAAGGAAUGUUUUGCAUCUGAGCUUCAUCUACCUCCCAACAUACUUAAAAAGUUGUUUCCUGUACUGCAGCUUAUUUCCGGAAGACUAUCUUUUCAAAAGGAAACAACUUGUACGGUUAUUCAUCGCUGAGGGGUUCAUCGAGGAGAGGGGUGAAAGCACACUAGAAGAAGUGGCAGAAGGCUAUCUAAAAGAGUUGGUUGACAGAAACAUGCUACAACUUGUUGAGAGGAACUCGUUUGGUAGGGUGAAGAAAUUCAGAAUGCACGAUCUCGUACGUGAACUGGCAGUUGAUUUGUGCAAGAAGAACUGUUUUGGUGCUAGUUAUGAGGAUCAGUGUGGGGGGUCUCUUGAGAUGGAUGGACGUCGGUUGGUGCUUCACAAAGUAAAGAAGGAUAUUCAACAGCCAUUUUCCAAUAUGCACCAACUUCGUACUGUCAUUACACUGGGCGAUAGCAAGUCAUCAUGCACCUUACUACCUCUGCUUUGCACGGAGUCAAGAUAUUUGACAGUGCUAGAAUUAAGUGGUCUACCCUUGGAGAUGAUUCCAGAUGCUAUUGGGGAUCUUUUUAAUCUCCGCCAUUUGGGUUUGCGGGGUUCAAAGGUGAAGAUGCUCCCGAAGACUAUUGAGAACCUUUCAAAUUUGUUGACACUCGACCUUUAUGAAUCUGAUAUACAUAAGCUGCCUAGUGGGAUUGUGAAACUGAAGAAGCUUAGGCACUUGUUUGCUGAGAGAGUAAUUGAUGCAGAAGGAGAUUUUGAAUGUCGGAGUGGUGUGUGUAUCCCCAUUGGUCUUGGAAAUCUGACAAACCUACAGACGCUACAGGCAUUGGAAGUACAAGAUGAGUGUCUUAGGCAUUUAGGGGAGCUGAGGCAAAUGAGAAGCUUGAGGUUAUGGAAUGUGAAGGGAAUGUACUGUGGACGCAUCAGUGAGUCUCUAGUUCGGAUGCCGUAUCUGUCCAACCUAGAUGUGAAUGCUAGUGACGAGGACGAGGUUCUCUUGUUGAAUGUCUGCCUGCCAAGCCUGCAAAAGCUAAGUCUGAGAGGACGACUAGCGGAAGGGGCGUUGGACGAGUCUCCUCUCUUCCAAGCUGAUGGGGGCCAGAACUUGUAUGUAUUGUAUCUAUCUUGGUCACAGCUGAGAGAAGACCCCCUACCAUCCCUUUCUCGGCUGGCAAACAUGACGUGUCUACACUUCACCAGAGCAUACAACGGAGAGCAGCUGUCAUUUCUCGUGGGAUGGUUUCCCAAGCUAAAGGUUCUCUCUCUAAGAGACCUGCCUAAUCUGAGUCGUCUAGAGGUACAGCAAGGUGCCAUGGCGAGCCUGGAGGAACUAUUCUUGGCCAACCUCAGCAGCAUGACGGAGGUCCCAGCUGGCAUUGAGUUCCUCCUUCCCCUCCAGCAUCUAUCCUUCUUGGAAAUCACCAAUGACUUCUUGACGAUGCUGUACCAAUGUUCUGUACUUGAAGAGCAGAUGUGGCACUAUUCUCUCCGAGACUGA